AGUCGUAACAAGGUUUCCGUAGGUGAACUGCGGAAGGAUCAUUACCGAUUCUAAUACCUCAAUCCUGUGCACUCGGUCGCUGCAAGCAUCUCCUUUCGGGGUUGGCCGGUAACGGUCAUUAAAUCGGGUCCUCUUCGGGCUCGGGCCCCGACCGGAGCUCUGCUCGCAGUGGGUUUUAUCACCGCCCCUUCGGGGGCGCUCUUCUUACUUUAACCUUGUAAAUUUGCAGACAGAACUGAGGGCUUUCUGUAGAAAGCUUGUUUUCAUGCUUAAUCAUGGACAACUUUCAACGGUGGAUCUCUUGGCUCGUGGAUCGAUGAAGAACGCAGCAAAACGCGAUAUGUAGUGUGAAUUGCAGAAUUCAGUGAAUCAUCGAAUCUUUGAACGCAAAUGGCGCUCCUGGGUAUUCCCAGGAGCAUGUCUGUCUCAGUGUCGUCUUCACCUCGAGCGCGCUUCGGCGCGGUGGUCAUGAGGCGUCUGGGCGCUGCUGCUCUGCUGCUGCUCCCAGUCCCUUGAAAUUCAGUGGCCGGACAGUUUGUGUGCUCUUCGGGUCGGUUCGCCCCGAACUCGCUCGCACGGCUGAUGGCGAGAUUCUCGUGAUCUCCCUUGUCGUGUAGCAGCGGACCGCGGGUGGAGCCUGGCUCCGUCAUGGCCUCUGUCCGAAUCAAGCCAGUUCUGGAAAACUUCAGUUUCCUCUCUCCUCCGGGGAGCAGAAACAUCUCCGACCUGAGAUCAGUCAAGACUACCCGCUGAAUUUAAGCAUAUUAAUAAGC
rnacentral:rRNA from 1 species